AGUGAACGCUGGCGGUAGGCCUAACACAUGCAAGUCGAACGGCAGCACAGUAAGAGCUUGCUCUUACGGGUGGCGAGUGGCGGACGGGUGAGGAAUACAUCGGAAUCUACUUUUUCGUGGGGGAUAACGUAGGGAAACUUACGCUAAUACCGCAUACGACCUACGGGUGAAAGCAGUGGAUCUUCGGACCUUGCGUGAUUGAAUGAGCCGAUGUCGGAUUAGCUAGUUGGCGGGGUAAAGGCCCACCAAGGCGACGAUCCGUAGCUGGUCUGAGAGGAUGGGCUGACACACUAGAACUGAGACACGGUACAGACUACUACGGGAGGCAGCAGUGGGGAAUGUUAGACAAUGGACGCAAGCCUGAUCCAGCCAAGCCGCGUCGGUGAAAAAGGCCUUGGGGUUGUAAAGCCCUUCUGUUGGGAAAGAAGAGCAGCAGGUGAAUACCCUGCUGUCCUGACGGUACCCAAUGAAUAAGCACCGGCUAACUUCGUG
rnacentral:rRNA from 1 species